rnacentral:rRNA from 1 species
AGGAAGGUGGGGAUGACGUCAAAUCAUCAUGCCCCUUAUGACCUGGGCUACACACGUGCUACAAUGGACGGUACAAAGAGCUGCAAGACCGCGAGGUGGAGCUAAUCUCAUAAAACCGUUCUCAGUUCGGAUUGUAGGCUGCAACUCGCCUACAUGAAGCUGGAAUCGCUAGUAAUCGCGGAUCAGCAUGCCGCGG